rnacentral:lncRNA from 1 species
GAACACCUUGCAAAGUAUGGUGUAUAUAAGCUUCUCCUGCAGCACAUCAUGUUAUUUGCUCUUCUUCUCUGGAUCUGUUUACAGAGAGCAGACUUUCUUUUAAUUGGCAAAGUGAUAAUGUGGUCUCUGUUGCUUAGAGCUGUUUGGCUGGUGAUAAAUAGGGAGGAUUUUUCUCUCCAGUGGCUGAUUUCAUAUCGGACAGGUAGAUCAAGCUUGUACUGUUUUCUGAGCUUGCUUUUUGUGAACUGAACACUGAUGGCAGACUUCAAGAGAAGGUUAGAAAAUGUGAAGGCAAUUCAAGAUGCGGCAUAUGGAUGCAGGUGCUGGUGUAGCUAAUGGUGGUGGCUUGGACAGCGCCUUCUUGAGCAAGUGAUGAAGCUACAUGGAGGUGGGUCUGCACAGCAGGAGGAGGGUGCUACUGAAGUCCACGCUGGACAGCUUUUGUGGACAACGGGAGUAAGACUGAGCACCCUUCAGCAGCCCUCUGUGUGCUUUUGGGGCCGCAUGGGAGUGGGCUGCCCACUCAGUGCUGCAACCCCAGUCUGGUGAGUGGGGUGUUGAGGACAAGGGGAUUCCCUGAAAAAUGCACUCCUAACCCAAGCUAAAAUGGUAAUGUAGACUUACCUGCUAGCUGUAGCACUGGAAGGUUACCUUUUUGACAUCCACUUGGUUUUCCCUCUCUGCUUCCCUGCUGAUAUUGCAACUCUGGCCUUAGCAGAGAGUAGAGAAGACCAAGACAAGGGAAUAUUUUUUUUUUCACCACUUCGAGAAUCCCCUUACUUCUGUAUGUAUUCAAUCAGUGGUUCCACUCAGUUGAAUAAUUGUUUGCUGAGGUAUAAAUAUCACUGCUUGUACAGAUGCUCAUGUAUGUAUCUCUGUACAUAUAUUGGGAAAAUUAAGAAUUUAUUGCAGCAAAUAUUUACUGUACCACAAUAGUCCCUUAUUAAGAAUUAUUAAAAUAAUGCACAAUAUUAUUUAUUCAUGUAAUCAUUGCUUUUACAAGAUGCACCACCAUAAAAUAUACAUUGUAAUAAUUUAUUGAAUACUUAGCAUAUAAAUUAACUAAAAAGGCCUUGGGCAAAAAUAAAGAUCGUGAAUUCUUGUUAGAUUUUAGCUGU